rnacentral:rRNA from 1 species
GUUUGAUCCUGGCUCAGAUUGAACGCUGGCGGCAUGCUUUUACACAUGCAAGUCGAACGGUAACAGGCCUUCGGGUGCUGACGAGUGGCGAACGGGUGAGUAAUGCAUCGGAACGUGCCCAAUCGUGGGGGAUAACGUAGCGAAAGUUACGCUAAUACCGCAUAAGCCCUGAGGGGGAAAGUGGGGGACCGCAAGGCCUCACGCGAAUGGAGCGGCCGAUGUCAGAUUAGCUAGUUGGUGGGGUAAAGGCUCACCAAGGCGACGAUCUGUAGCGGGUCUGAGAGGAUGAUCCGCCACACUGGGACUGAGACACGGCCCAGACUCCUACGGGAGGCAGCAGUGGGGAAUUUUGGACAAUGGGCGCAAGCCUGAUCCAGCCAUGCCGCGUGCGGGACGAAGGCCUCGG